CCGAUGGAUGAAUGAAAAAUGUAUUAAAUUUGUCAGUAGGGAAUUUCAAAGAAUGAGUAGCUGUGGCCUUUUAAUGUUGAAUCCUGUCAUCUGAACAACAGUCUGGAUGUUGGUUUAAAGUGGCCCCUCUAAAUAUUAGACUGGGUUUGUGAGUGUAAUGGUGGAUCAUUUCCUACACACCUUUGGAAAAGUACCACGUUCCCUCUCCACCAGCACAGUGGCGUGUUGACAGGCUGUUGGUGCACCGUGGCGUCCGUGUGGCGGCUUUGGCCACGAUGUACACACACAAUGUAAACCAUGUCCCUGGAAGACUAGGUUGUCCCUCCACAAGCCGCUUGAUGUCCUGUACACUGUAUCCUGCACUAUAGUCCUUUACUGUAAAGAGAAGACAAAACAUGUGUUUUUUUCCCACGUCCUAUUUUGCACACAUGUAACAUCCCAUAAUACUGUAAAGUGUAUUUGUGAGCAACGGCAGUUGAAUCUCCUGUAAAAUGACCUUUAGUGUAAAUAAUAGGAGCUUUGUUUUUUACACUCCUCUGUGUUUUUGUGUGUGACUGACGUUUGUCAUUUAAUAUGCUGCUUUAACAUUUAGACCAGAGGUUCUCAAACUGUGGGGCGCGACCCUCUGGUGGGGCGCGAGGGGCUGGAGGAAAUGUACAAAAAAAGGUUCAAGUAUUAUUAUUAUUAUUAUUAAUCCCACGUGGGGAAGUGAUUGUGGUUUCACCCUCAGUGAGUAAGGAGCAGUGUGCCGCUGUGAAGCACUGGGCUUCAGUGCCUUGCUCAAGGACACUGAGACACAAACUGUGGAGAGAAGACGAUGGAGCCGCAUGUAAAACAUCACAGCCCUGUUUAGUUACGUCCACUUACUUCUUCUCUUUGACUCAAAGAACGCUGACAAGUUUUAGAUCUGAACUUCACUUUGUUCUGUUGUUAAGUCACAAAAUGUCGUUAUCUCAAUAAAAGUUCAGCAUGGACCCUUUUGUCACGUAUCUGUUGGGCCGGCGGGGCUCCAGGUCCAGAUCUUGGCCACACGAUUCAUUGUCUACAUCACUGAGAACAUUAGGAGGCUGCUGCCACUGACACACGAGGUUUAAUAUUAAAGGAGAUUUUAUUUAUUUUCACAAAGUAAAGUAAAGUGGUUUGGCAGCGAGGACUGUUACAUAUUCACUACACCUGCUCACAGACGUGAUGGAUCCUCACGUCACGCGG
ensembl:lncRNA